rnacentral:tRNA from 1 species
UCCCGUGUGGCUUACUUGGUAGAGCAUGGCUCUUGCACCGUCAGGGUUGUGGGUUUGAUUCCCACUGGGGGAC